AUGGACCCUGUGAAGAAAAUAACAAAAGAAGAUACUUGGAGGACUGAUGACUUAAAAGUGCACAUCGAGGCACACAAUGAGGAGAGCAAAAGAAGAUCUAAACGAGAAGAGGAGCACAGGAAAUACAGGGAUGGAGAGUCUCUGGAUCGCCGUCGCAGAGAUCCUGAUCGAGAUGCAAAAAGAGAAAAAGAAAAACGGAGAGAGCGAGAAAGCACAAGAGAGAAGAGCAAACACAGAGACCCAGACGGGGAUAGAAACCAGGACGACAAGCUGGAAGACAUCAGGGAGGAUAGAUAUAAAGAGAGAAAGAGAGAGCGAGAGAGAGACAACAGACACAGAGAUGGAGAUGAAGAAGAAAAAAGACACAGUCGAGGGGAGAAGGAAACUGGUGAAAGACGGAGGGAUAGAGAAAAGGACCGAUAUAAAGACAGGGACAUAGACAUGUACAGUCAGGGGGCCAGGGGUACAAACAGGGAAGGAGAAAAAGAUAGAGAUAGAAGAAGAACUGAGAGAGACAGGGAGCGAAAAAGUGAAACAGAUAGAAGGAAAGAGGAGAGAAGAGACGGAGAAAAAGACGAAAGGGAGAGAGACAAAGAACGAGAAAGAGAGAGGAGAGAAAGACACCGAGCAAGAGAAAGUGAACAGCAGCGACAUGAACAUGAGGAAAAACAGAGGGACGGAGAAAGGAGAGAGAGACGCAGUGAUAAAGAACACUCUGGACACAAAGAAAAAGAACACAGAAGAGAUAGAGAAGAUAGAGAGAAGAGAAGAAGGGAUAAAGAAAGUCAUGUGGCACACACAAGUCACUCUCGAGAAGCUGAACAGAAUCACCAGGAGUCGAAAGAGUCAAAGGAUUAUUUCCACAGCAUCAAAGAUGGGGAUAGGGAAAAGGCCAGGGAGCGGGAAGAGAGAGAUAAACGGCGUGAAAAAAGGCACAAAGAGGCUUCAGAAUCCAAGAGGAGUGACAGAGAGCGGAAACAUAAAGAUUCAUCAGGACAUGACCUGAGUGAAAGGAUAAAUAGAGACAAAGAGGUGGAGAAUGAAGAAACUGAAGAGAAUAAACAAUCAAGCAAAGAUCGUAAUGAUUAUGAGGAGGAUUUUGAGGUGUGA
ensembl:lncRNA